GUGUCAGUAGUAUAAGUUUUGGGGAGUAUUCCUUCUUUCCAGGUAGGGGGUUUCAUUUGUUGUGAGCUGAUAUA
rnacentral:tRNA from 1 species